rnacentral:rRNA from 1 species
CCUACGGGAGGCAGCAGUGAGGAAUAUUGGUCAAUGGACGAGAGUCUGAACCAGCCAAGUAGCGUGAAGGAUGACUGCCCUAUGGGUUGUAAACUUCUUUUAUAAAGGAAUAAAACGAGGCACGUGUGCCUUUUUUGCAUGUACUUAAUGAAUAAGGAUCGGCUAACUCCGUCCCAGCAGCCGCGGUAAUACGGAGGAUCCGAGCGUUACCCGGUUUGAUUGGGUUUAAAGGGAGCGUAGAUGGGUUGUUAAGUCAGUUGUGAAAGUUUGCGGCUCAACCGUAAAAUUGCAAUUGAUACUGGCAGUCUUGAGUACAGUUGAGGUAGGCGGAAUUCGUGGUGUAGCGGUGAAAUGCUUAGAUAUCACGAAGAACCCCGAUUGCGAAGGCAGCUUACUAAACUGUGACUGACAUUGAUGCUCGAAAGUGUGGGUAUCAAAUAGGAUUAGAUACCCCAGUAGUC